rnacentral:rRNA from 1 species
AGCUCGUAGGCGGUUUGUCACGUCUGCUGUGAAAACCCGAGGCUCAACCUCGGGCUUGCAGUGGGUACGGGCAGACUAGAGUGCGGUAGGGGAGAUUGGAAUUCCUGGUGUAGCGGUGGAAUGCGCAGAUAUCAGGAGGAACACCGAUGGCGAAGGCAGAUCUCUGGGCCGUAACUGACGCUGAGGAGCGAAAGCAUGGGGAGCAAACAGGCUUAGAUACCCUGGUAGUCCAUGCCGUAAACGUUGGGAACUAGAUGUGGGGACCAUUCCACGGUCUCCGUGUCGUAGCUAACGCAUUAAGUUCCCCGCCUGGGGAGUACGGCCGCAAAGCUAAAACUCCGAGGAAUUGACGGGGGCCCG